rnacentral:pre_miRNA from 1 species
GUUGGGUUGCCUAGCAGCCGAGACCCUAUCAAUAUUGCCUCUGCUUUUCUGACUGAUAACGGAGUAGUGCAAUAUUGCUUAUAGGGUCUUGACUCCGAGGGAUG